AGCGUUUCUAGCUAUGUUGAAACGCGGCAGACGGCUCAGUAACACGUGGCUAACCUACCCUCAUGAUGAGAACACCCCCGGGAAACUGGGGCUAAUACUCAAUAAGUGAGGAUGUCUGGAAUGAUUUCUCACUCAAAAGGCUUUGGAUACAUGCUUCCAUUGUCGCCUGGGGAUGGGGCCGCGUCCGAUCAGGUUGUUGGUGAGGUAACGGCUCACCAAGCCUAUAACCGGUACGGGCCGUGAGAGCGGUAGCCCGGAGAUGGGUACUGAGACAAGGACCCAGGCCCUACGGGGCGCAGCAGUCGCGAAAACUCCGCAAUGCACGAAAGUGUGACGGGGCUACCCCGAGUGCCAUCCGCUGAGGAUGGCUUUUCUUUGGUAUAACAAGCCAUUGGAAUAAGGAGAGGGCAAGACUGGUGUCAGCCGCCGCGGUAAUACCAGCUCUCCGAGUGGUAGGGAUGAUUAUUGGGCUUAAAGCGUCCGUAGCCGGCUUAGCAAGUCUCCUGUAUAACUCAGCGACCUAAUCGUUGAAUCGCGGGAGAUACUACUAGGCUACGAGGCGGGAGACGUCGACUGUACUUCUGGGGU
rnacentral:rRNA from 1 species